GCUUAGCAGGUAUCAAUAUAUGAAUCAGAUGUGAAAAAAUACAAGGAUUCAUGGAAAUUACCCUUGGGACCAGAUACAUUUGGGGCAGAUGGCGGUGCCCCAUACACACAUCCCUUUCUCGCCCUCCUGCAGGAUGUUCCGUGGAAUGGGCGCCGCUGGAUAUACAGUAGGACCAGCAUUCUGACUGAGGAAGACCUAGUUCUGCUCUCAGUCUGAGAAGGAACGGAUCCUGUCAGGAUGGAUCAGUUGACCUAACCUCAAAAACCCAAGAUAGUUACAGGAUUUACAUCCAGCUCCAAACUUACGCCAUCCCAAAGGAUCCUCUGAGAUCAGUCCGGACCCUCCAGCCGCCUCCUGCUCCCCGUGGCACAAACAAAGCAGCAAUCAGUGGUUCCAAAGCGCUGUUGCCUCAUUAAGACGCCGGUUACGUUGCCGAAAGAUGGGAAAGAAGUAUUUACCCAGAGACCACCAGUGCAGACCCCAUUGCUGGAAUUCUUACCGACUGUAGCGGUUACACCCAGAAGUAAAAGCGAAGG